rnacentral:ribozyme from 1 species
GCAAGAAAGAAAAAAAGAAGAGCAAAAAGGAGAAGAAGAAAAAGAGGUCGCGUAAGUAAACA